AGUGAGACUAUUUAAUGGCAGCUCGCUCGCUGCUUCUGCACGCGCCUUCUGCUCUGUCAACAACACGGUCUCUAAACAUUUACUCUCCAAGCUCCCCAACACUUUAUCAGCGACGCUGAACCAGAAAGUAUACGACUGAAGAGGCACCAUGGUCUAUGAAAAUAUACAUGAGGCUUUUCUGAAGGUAAAAGAAGGACACUUUGUGACGGUCAAAAGGAACUCUAUAGCUGGACUGGUGCUGUGUGUUGUCGAACUUAAAGAAGAAGCACCUUCACUAGUGAAAAUAUGGACACGUGUAAGCGGAACGAAAAAUCUGAUUGCUUUUAGUUUCCCGAGUACAGAUGGCAACUAUUCCCCGAAGGUGAAAGAAAAAACGCUGCAGUUGGAGAAGAUUGCCGAUGUUUCUGAAAUCGAUGAACCUUAUUGGUUUGAGAAGGUUGACCUUCACGCCAACGAACAUUACGGCCUGCGGUCCGUCGUCAAUCCUCGUCAUUACCUCAGUAAAGAUGACACAAAAGAAACCACUGUUUUCUGCCUCCGUGAAGACAGUCAGGCAUGCGCUGAGCUCACAGAUGAAGCAUGAAGAAACCAACUACACCUUUGACAAUAUAACAGCAGACUUUCCUGCUGGGUUAGAUGGGUUUCUCGGCAACAAGCAGGGAGUGGAUUUGCUUAGAAAAUGUGUCCUUCCUUGGUGACUAUAUAUCUUAAACUUAACACUAUACUCUUGAUGAAGCUAUCCAACUAGUACAUGUUUAACUUUUUAAACAUGAAGCCCAAGUUUGAACAUUCUGUUAAAAAGCUUAAAGUCUCCCAGCCAAAGCUAUAUUUUCUCGCACUACUCAAUCUGUUUUCAAAGACUAUAAUUGUUCUCCACGUAAACUGGUCUUUUUGUGUGAAAUCCGUAGGAUUCAUUAUAAUAAUAUAUUAUAUAAUAAUGUUUUUAUUGUUGGUAUUUAAAUGCAAAGAAGGAAUCGAUUACUGUACGUAUAUGAAGGCUAUUGAUGAUCUUUUUCUUCACCAAAUGUUAUUUUGGACAACUCAAGCUUCAACCUAACUUCCCUGAAAAGACUGGUUAGCUUUUAGUUGAAGCAGCUUCAUGCUUUACCAGUAUUUAGAUAACACCUGCAACUGUGUAAUCCAUCCAAAGUAACAAUAAUUAAUGUUUGUCGCAUGCCUCUUUUAUGUCUUGUCCUGCUGGUUUUGGAAAGAAAAAGCUUUAUAUUUAAUUUUUUUUUUUUCUAUGUAAUAUUUAUACUAAUAGUGUAACCUGUAAAUGUGAAGACUUAUUUUAAUAAACUGUUGUAUAUCUUCAA